rnacentral:lncRNA from 1 species
UCACUCUGUUUCCUCCCAAGGAGCUAGUAAUUACAGACUGGCUCUCCAGGGAAUGGUAAGCAUGAUCUCUGGGAGGGGCAUUCAUGGCCUCACGGAGCUAUGGGCAGAGACUCCACCCGGAACUCCAGACUAGGCCACUGUUUCAUUUGCUAAUAUGAAACACCAGCAGUACCAUCAGUACAUCCAGCAGACACAUCCUAAAGACAAUCUGAGCUUUAACUGUAUGUUUUUAUUGAGCUGCUUCUGUGUAUUCAUGUCUGGUAUGCACAUCUUUUGGACAAUAACUAAAAAAAAAUAUUAAUUUUCACACUGGCUCACAAGGAGCAUAGGCCAGAAAAGAAUUAGUCAACAAGAUAAAGAUGCAAGCAUUUUAGUUUUAAGAGAUUUGAUUUAUUCAUGAUCUUUUUUGACUCUUUCUUCUUUUAUCUACAGCACAAAUGAACUGUUCUUGAACUCUUAAUAAAUUUAACUCCAGUAAAAACAUUGCAAAGCCCUCACUCUAUCCUGUAUAAUCCACAGGAAACAAACUACGCAUUUUUGGCAUGUUCUGUAAACUGUUAUUCUGCCCAGUGACUUGGGGACACUGAGAAAUUACUGAAGCACUGAGUCUGCAAGAGAAUCACUGAAGGAACCAGAGAGUUAGGCCAGCUGACCGCACACCACCUGUAUCAGCACAAUGCUGCUGUUUACUACUUAUCAGCUGGUUUUCAGCAACUCUAACUCAGAGCCUACAAUGGUCACUUAAAUUGCUCAGCCAUACUUUACUGUAAUUGUGUAUGGGAAAUUACAAGUUUUCAAUUUGGAAAUUAGAAACGUAUUUGUAAAAACAAUACCUAAGACAAGUAAAAAUUAUAUUUAAAUCCAUAGUGACAACAUGAAGUUGAUAGCUGUUUGUUUCUCCUCAGUAUUUGGCAAGAAACAAAUGAUACUUACCGUCAGUGAAAUGAAUCUUUGCUUUAUUAGAAUACAUGGGCUCUGUCACCCUGUCCUUAUGCUUUU